AUUGAACGCUGGCGGCAUGCUUUACACAUGCAAGUCGAACGGCAGCACGAAAGAGCUUGCUCUUUUGGUGGCGAGUGGCGAACGGGUGAGUAAUGCAUCGGAACGUACCGAGUAAUGGGGGAUAAAUGUCCGAAAGGAUAGCUAAUACCGCAUACGCUUUGAGAAGGAAAGUGGGGGCUCUUCGGACCUCACGUUAUUCGAGCGGCCGAUGUCUGAGUAGCUAGUUGGUGGGGUAAAGGACUACCAAGGCGACGAUCAGUAGCGGGUCUGAGAGGAUGAGCCGCCACACUGGGACUGAGACACGGCCCAGACUCCUACGUGAGGCAGCCAUGGGGAAUUUUGGACAAUGGGCGCAAUCCUGAUCCAGCCAUGCCGCGUGUCUGAAGAAGGCCUUCGGGUUGUAAAGGACUUUUGUUAGGGAAGAAAAGGAUAGUGUUAAUACCAUUAUCUGCUGACGGUACCUAAAGAAUAAGCACCGGCUAACUACGUG
rnacentral:rRNA from 1 species